GAUUAAGUUAUUAAGGGCGCACGGUGGAUGCCUUGGCACUAGAAGCCGAUGAAGGACGUUACUAACGACGAUAUGCUUUGGGGAGCUGUAAGUAAGCUUUGAUCCAGAGAUUUCCGAAUGGGGAAACCCAGCAUGAGUUAUGUCAUGUUAUCGAUAUGUGAAUACAUAGCAUAUCAGAAGGCACACCCGGAGAACUGAAACAUCUUAGUACCCGGAGGAAGAGAAAGAAAAUUCGAUUCCCUUAGUAGCGGCGAGCGAAACGGGAAGAGCCCAAACCAACAAGCUUGCUUGUUGGGGUUGUAGGACACUCUAUACGGAGUUACAAAGGACGACAUUAGACGAAUCAUCUGGAAAGAUGAAUCAAAGAAGGUAAUAAUCCUGUAGU
rnacentral:rRNA from 1 species